ACGUCAGCAAAAUAUAUCACAACAGUUAAAAAUAAUUGAUCAGGAUCAGUAGGAUCACAGGUUCACAUGGACAAAAAAAAAUACAGUGAUAAAAUUAUCAAAAAACUUCAUACCAUUUUUAAUCAACAUUAUGUGCGUUGGGCAACUAUCAGCAAUUUCUCCUUAGUGUGACAAACUAAAAUAAAAUAAAAAAUGCAUACUCUGUCCAUCAAAAUAAAACUGAUGUUUUGAAUAUUUAAAUCCUUCUGAUUACAUAAACACUCUCCACAAAAUGUAUCUUCCUCAUCAAUGUGGAUGGUUGUCACAGAAGCAUCCUAAAAGUCUUCUUCUAGUAUCUGACCGAUGGCGAGCAUCAGAUCAAAAAAUCCGGGUCUUCCUUCAGGUUUCU